AUAUAUUUUGUAAAAAAAAAAUCUGUCUUAUCAGUUUAAUAUCUGAUAUCCCCCAUCGGGGGACUACAUAUUAAAUGGUUUUUCGAACAGGAGUCGGAAAUGGGGCUUCUCGUCCGCUCCACGCAUCGACCCGGUAUUGCAGUACCUCCGGGAACGGUGCAACACUU
rnacentral:snRNA from 1 species